GAAGAAGAAGAAGAAGAAAGAAGAGCGUAAUUAAUUUCUUGUGCAGACUAUUAAGGGCUGUUUGGACGAGACUUGCUUUAAAGAAUUCUGGAAACUAACCGCUGAACAAUAAGAGACUGAACCAAACCUGCAGCCAAAAGAAAGAACAGAAGACUGUGUGCAUAUGAGGCCUUUUCGGAGCAUUGCUGACUCCAUUCAUCUGUGACGGUAUGCUUUCAGAAAGAUGAAUACCACUAUGGUACGCAGCUCAUUUUAUUUCUGAUUUCUUAAACUGUGAAACUGAAAGUUCAGGACCGGUGUUGAAGAUUAACUGGUGAUCCGAUCAACUGGUGAUAUUCAGUGAGCAAGACAGCUGUUACAACGGCAAUGCAUAGCAUAGGUGACUGUGUUGAUGCCUGUUCAAAACACACAAAUGUCAAUAAACUGUUCCAAAAUGU